CAGCCGCCGCGGUAAUACGUAGGGGGCGAGCGUUGUCCGGAAUUACUGGGCGUAAAGGGCGUGUAGGCGGCCUAAUAAGUCAGGUGUGAAAUUCCAAGGCUUAACCUUGGCGCUGCACUUGAAACUGUUGGGCUUGAGGUCAGGAGAGGGAAGCGGAAUUCCCAGUGUAGCGGUGAAAUGCGUAGAUAUUGGGAGGAACACCAGUGGCGAAGGCGGCUUCCUGGACUGCACCUGACGCUGAGGCGCGAAAGCUAGGGUAGCGAACGGGAUUAGAUACCCCGGUAGUCCUAGCCGUAAACGAUGGGUACUAGGUGUGGGAGGUAUCGACCCCUUCCGUGCCGCAGUUAACGCAAUAAGUACCCCGCCUGGGGAGUACGGCCGCAAGGCUGAAACUCAAAGGAAUUGACGGGGGCCCGCACAAGCGGUGGAGCAUGUGGUUUAAUUCGAUGCAACGCGAAGAACCUUACCAGGUCUUGACAUCCCUCUGACCGGUAUAGAGAUAUACCUUUCCUUCGGGACAGAGGAGACAGGUGGUGCAUGGCC
rnacentral:rRNA from 1 species